CAGCCGCCACGGGAAUACGAAGGGGGCUAGCGUUGCUCGGAAUGACUGGGCGUAAAGGGCGCGUAGGCGGCGAUCAAAGUCAGGCGUGAAAUUCCUGGGCUCAACCUGUGGGCUGCGUUUGAUACUUGAUUGCUAGAGUGGGGAAGAGGGUCGUGGAAUUCCCAGUGUAGAGGUGAAAUUCGUAGGUAUUGGGAAGAACACCGGUGGCGAAGGCGGCGACCUGGUCCUUGACUGACGCUGAGGCGCGAAAGCGUGGGGAGCAAACAGGAUUAGAUACCCCAGUAGUCCCUGUCUCUUUACA
rnacentral:rRNA from 1 species